rnacentral:rRNA from 1 species
GACGUGACUUCAGAGUUUGAUCCUGGCUCAGGAUGAACGCUGGCGGCGUGCCUAACACAUGCAAGUCGAGCGAUUUACUUCGGUAAAGAGCGGCGGACGGGUGAGUAACGCGUGGGUAACCUGCCCUGUACACACGGAUAACAUACCGAAAGGUAUGCUAAUACGAGAUAACAUACUUUUAUCGCAUGGUAGAAGUAUCAAAGCUUUUGCGGUACAGGAUGGACCCGCGUCUGAUUAGCUAGUUGGUAAGGUAAUGGCUUACCAAGGCGACGAUCAGUAGCCGACCUGAGAGGGUGAUCGGCCACAUUGGAACUGAGACACGGUCCAA